rnacentral:rRNA from 1 species
UACGUAGGGGGCAAGCGUUGUCCGGAAUCAUUGGGCGUAAAGAGCGUGUAGGCGGCUCGGUAAGUCCGCUGUGAAAGUCCAGGGCUCAACCCUGGAAUGCCGGUGGAAACUGUCGAGCUAGAGUCCGGAAGAGGCGAGUGGAAUUCCUGGUGUAGCGGUGAAAUGCGCAGAUAUCAGGAGGAACACCAAUGGCGAAGGCAGCUCGCUGGGACGGUACUGACGCUGAUGCGCGAAAGCGUGGGGAGCAAACGGG